rnacentral:rRNA from 1 species
GACGUAGGGUGCAAGGCGUUGUCCGGGAUUUAUUGGGCGUAAAGAGCUCGUAGGCGGCUUGUUGCGUCGCUGUGAAAAACCCCCGCGGGCUUAAACCCGCGGGGCUUGCAGUUAUACGGGGCAGGGCUAGAGUUUCGGGUAGGGGGAGACUGGAAUUCCUGGGUGUAGCGGUGAAAAUGCGCAGAUAUCAGGGAGGAACACCCGGUGGGCGAAAGGGCGGG